rnacentral:rRNA from 1 species
UAGAUACCCUGGUAGUCCAUGCCGUAAACGUUGGGCACUAGGUGUGGGGGACAUUCCACGUCUUCCGCGCCGUAGCUAACGCAUUAAGUGCCCCGCCUGGGGAGUACGGCCGCAAGGCUAAAACUCAAAGAAAUUGACGGGGGCCCGCACAAGCGGCGGAGCAUGCGGAUUAAUUCGAUGCAACGCGAAGAACCUUACCAAGGCUUGACAUAUACUGGACCGCAUCAGAGAUGGGGCUUCUUUUGGGGGU